GUAGGAACAACACACCACAGUCCACAAGGCGCGCCCGCAUCUACACUCGCACUAAAAGCAGCAGAUGCUCACUACGCUAACGCCUACCUUGUGCGCUUUACUGCUCCAUUUACUCCCGCAGAGGUGAACGGGCGCCUUUCGUUUUUCUGCUUCACUUCUCGGAAGCAGAGGUCGACCGAGCUGAUCUCCGCAUCCCGUUUCCUGUUCAUCAGAGAGAAGCUAGUUAAUGGCCGCCAGCGAGAGAAACGAGUCUUCGGCGGCGCCAUUGCUGGCAGCAGCGAGGGAGAGAAAACUCUGCAAGGAAGGGUGCCCAGGAUGCAGGCUGGACGAGAUCAACAAGAGCAAGACCGGCAUCCCCUACCUCAACUUCUUCUACGUGUGGGUCGUCUGUCUCUGCGCCGCUCUACCGAUCCAGUCACUGUUUCCCUAUCUAUACUUCAUGAUUAGGGACUUGGAAGUCGCAAAGCAAGAGCAAGACAUUGGGUUCUAUGCUGGUUUUGUUGGGGCUGCUUAUUUCCUUGGAAGAACCAUCAGUGCUGUGCCAUGGGGCAUUUUUGCUGACAAAUAUGGGAGGAAGCCUUGCAUUGUUAUCAGUAUCCUCUCAGUGAUCGUAUUUAACACCCUUUUCGGCCUUAGCACGACUUACUGGAUGGCAAUUGUAACUAGGGGGCUACUUGGGUUACUCUGUGGUAUAUUAGGACCAAUCAAGGCCUAUGCUUCAGAAGUCUGCAGAAAAGAGCACCAAGCACUAGGAAUUUCUCUUGUUACAUCUUCACGAGCAAUAGCUCUUGUUAUUGGACCAGCCAUUGGAGGAUUUCUUGCACAGCCUGCAAAGAAGUACCCGAAUCUUUUCUCUGAGGAAUCCAUAUUUGGAAGGUUUCCAUACUUCCUCCCUUGCUUCGUCAUAUCGGUUCUAGCAGCAGGAGCAUGUCUUGCAUGCAUUUGGCUCCCGGAAACUCUGCACAUGUACCAUGAUGACAAAGUGGAAGCUAUUGAGGAAAUGGAGGCGCAAGUUGCUGAUUCGACCUCAGAAGACAGGAAUGCUAAACAAUCUGGAUCAGGCAGAAUGGCAUCCACAAAGAACCUGCUAAAGAACUGGCAGUUGAUGUCAGCAAUAACCCUCUACUGUGUGUUUUCUCUCCAUGAUACAGCUUAUCUUGAGAUAUUUUCACUCUGGGCUGUGAGCAGCAGAAAAUACCGGGGACUGAGUUUUACAUCCCAGGAGGUUGGUACCGUGCUAACUAUCUCAGGUUUUGGUGUUUUGGUAUAUCAACUUCUGAUUUACCCGCUCCUUGCCAAGUAUGCUGGGCUAGUCAAGCCAUUCCGUUCUGCAGCGGUAUUAUCUAUACUUCUCCUUGCAACAUAUCCAUUCAUGGCUAACCUAUAUGGUGUGGAGCUCAAAGUACUCAUCAACAUAGCCUCGCUUCUUAAGAAUAUGUUUGCGGCUACGAUUACUAUUGCAUGCAACAUUCUGCAGAACACAGCGGUGGCACAAGAACAAAGGGGUGUCGCAAAUGGUAUAUCUGUGACUCUGAUGUCAAUCUUCAAAGCAGUAGCCCCAGCGGCAGCAGGAAUUCUGUUUUCAUGGGCUCAGAAGAACAUAACUGGAUUGUUCAUACCAGGUGAUCAGAUCCUGUUCUGGAUGCUGAACAUGGUGUCAGUAAUCGGGCUCUCGCUGACGUUCAAGCCAUUUUUCUCUAUGCCGAGUGCGCUGAAAUGAUGAGCACACAAUUAUGUUCAUCCAGCUAGUUAAGUAAAGUUAGGGACACACCACAGUUUGCAGCCCUGGAUAAAAAAAAACCGCGUCAUGUAUUGUGUCACAUAUAUUUUUCAUAUGUUUUUGGUUGUGUGAUCAGAUGUGGCAAGAUAUCUUUUUUGUUGUUGUCAAAACUCCUACGCACAAGGUGCUUUGGUUCCUGGUAAGAAGACCAAUAUUGUUUUGGUGGAUUGUUAAUAUAAGAC
rnacentral:rRNA from 1 species